UACAGAGGCCACAAGCGUUAGACGGAAUCACUGGGCUUAAAGCGUGUGUAGGCGGGAUGGUAAGUACCUUGUGAAAUCCCACAGCUUAACUGUGGAAAUGCUUGGUAUACUGCCGUUCUUGAGUCACCUAGGGGCAGCUGGAACAGAUGGUGGAGCGGUGAAAUGCGUAGAUAUCGUUUGGAACGCCAAUGGUGGAAACAGGUCGCUGGGGUUGUGCUGACGCUGAGACACGAAAGCCAGGGGAGCGAACGGG
rnacentral:rRNA from 1 species